rnacentral:lncRNA from 1 species
CAUGUUUCCAUUCAUCAAUCAUGGGAGCCUUGAUCUCCAAUUUCUCGAAGAUAUCCUUGAAGUACUUGAACCUGUUUUCCUUCCUAUGAUUUUUCUUUUUAUGAGGAAGAGGUUUUUCACAUGACCCUUUUUUCUUUCCUCUCUUCCUCUUUUUCUUAAUUUUCUCCUUCCUUAACCCUCUCUUUUUCUUUUUCCUUUCUUUCUUUAUUUUCACCUUUUUUUUCUUUUUUUCUUUUCUUUCAACCACGGCUUUUCCUUUCUCAACCUUCUUCUCACUCUCAUUCAACUUUUUUGUUUCUAUCUCCUCUAUCUUUUUCGCAACAACAACUUUUUCUGUUUUUGUUUCCUCUUCAUACAUCUCUAGCUCUUCUUCUUCUUCUCUCUUUUCCUCCUUGACAACCUUAUCAUUUGUAAAGAUAGUGGCUUGACAUUCUUCUUUAGGGUUAACUUCAGUAUUAUCCCUAAUAAUGCCCAGAGACUUCAAGACCUUUGUUAUCUCAUCUUCCUUUAUCUUCUCUUCAUCAAUAACUUUGUCAUCCUCAAAGAUAGUAGCUUGACAUUCUUCUUU